UUGAACGCUGGCGGCAUGCCUUACACAUGCAAGUCGAACGGCAGCACGGGAGUAAUCCUGGUGGCGAGUGGCGACCGGGUGAGUAAUAUAUCGGAACGUGCCCAGUAAUGGGGGAUAGCCCGGCGAAAGCCGGAUUAAUACCGCAUACGACCUACGGGUGAAAGCGGGGGAUCGUAAGACCUCGCGUUAUUGGAGCGGCCGAUAUCAGAUUAGCUUGUUGGCGGGGUAAAAGCCCACCAAGGCGACGAUCUGUAGCUGGUCUGAGAGGACGACCAGCCACACUGGGACUGAGACACGGCCCAGACUCCUACGGGAGGCAGCAGUGGGGAAUUUUGGACAAUGGGCGCAAGCCUGAUCCAGCCAUGCCGCGUGUGGGAAGAAGGCCUUCGGGUUGUAAACCACUUUUGUCAGGGAAGAAACGGCUCUUACUAAUAUUAGGAGCUAAUGACGGUACCCGAAGAAUAAGCACCGGCUAACUACGU
rnacentral:rRNA from 1 species